AAACUGCGAUACGUAGUGUGAAUUGCAGAAUUUGUGAAUCAUCGAAUCUUUGAACGCACCUUGCACUCUCUCUCGGGAGAGUAUGCCUGUUUGAGUACCACAUCCUUCUCUUGACAGUCGUCAAGGUCUUGAGCGCUCGUGUCUGCGUCGCUUUAAAUGAAUUCAGGGAACAGUGUUGGAAUGGAUUUAUCCUUCUCAUCAAGUACCAAAUGAACAAAUGGUCUCAAAUCAGGUAGGAAGACCCGCUGAACUUAA
rnacentral:misc_RNA from 1 species